UACGAGGGGGGCGAGCGUUGUUCGGAAUUAUUGGGCGUAAAGGGUGCGUAGGCGGUUUGGUAAGUCGUGUGUGAAAUCUACAGGCUCAACUUGUAGUCUGCACGAGAAACUGCCGGGCUUGAGUAUGGGAGAGGUGAGUGGAAUUUCUGGUGUAGCGGUGAAAUGCGUAGAUAUCAAGUGGAACACCAGUGGCGAAGGCGAGUCUCUGGACAUUUCCUGACGCUGAGGCACGAAAGCCAGGGGAGCAAACGGG
rnacentral:rRNA from 1 species